UACAGAGGGUGCGAGCGUUAAUCGGAAUUACUGGGCGUAAAGCGUGCGUAGACGGUAGCGUAAGUCAGAUGUGAAAGCCCCGGGCUCAACCUGGGAAUUGCAUUUGAGACUGCUCUGCUCGGGUGCGGAAGAGGGAAGCGGAAUUUCCGGUGUAGCGGUGAAAUGCGUAGAUAUCGGAAGGAACACCAGUGGCGAAAGCGGCUUCCUGGUCCGACACCGACGUUCAGGCACGAAAGCGUGGGGAGCAAGCAGG
rnacentral:rRNA from 1 species